rnacentral:rRNA from 1 species
UACGGAGGGUGCAAGCGUUAUCCGGAUUCACUGGGUUUAAAGGGUGUGUAGGCGGGCUGUUAAGUCAGUGGUGAAAUCUCCGGGCUCAACCCGGAAACUGCCAUUGAUACUAAUGGUCUUGAAUUUUGUUGAGGUAGGCGGAAUAUGUCAUGUAGCGGUGAAAUGCUCAGAUAUGACAUAGAACACCGAUUGCGAAGGCAGCUUACUAAGCAAAUAUUGACGCUGAGGCACGAAAGCGUGGGGAUCAAACAGG